AUUGAACGCUGGCGGAAUGCUUUACACAUGCAAGUCGAACGGCAGCACGGGGGCAACCCUGGUGGCGAGUGGCGAACGGGUGAGUAAUACAUCGGAACGUGCCCAGUCGUGGGGGGAUAACUACGCGAAAGCGUAGCUAAUACCGCAUACGAUCUACGGAUGAAAGCGGGGGAUCGCAAGACCUCGCGCGAUUGGAGCGGCCGAUGGCAGAUUAGGUAGUUGGUGGGGUAAAGGCUCACCAAGCCGACGAUCUGUAGCUGGUCUGAGAGGACGACCAGCCACACUGGGACUGAGACACGGCCCAGACUCCUACGGGAGGCAG
rnacentral:rRNA from 1 species